rnacentral:rRNA from 1 species
CCUACGGGAGGCUGCAGUGAGGAAUAUUGGUCAAUGGGCGCAAGCCUGAACCAGCCAAGUCGCGUGAGGGAAGACGGCCCUAUGGGCUGUAAACCUCUUUUGCCGGGGAGCAACGGCCGUUACGUGUGGCGCAACUGAGAGUACCUGAAGAAAAAGCAUCGGCUAACUCCGUGCCAGCAGCCGCGGUAAAACGGAGGAUGCGAGCGUUAUCCGGAUUUAUUGGGUUUAAAGGGUGCGUAGGCGGAAUGCCAAGUCAGCGGGAAAAUCGCGGGGCUCAACCCCUCACCGCCGUUGAAACUGGCGAUCUGGAGUGGGCGAGAGGUAUGCGGAAUGCGUGGUGUAGCGGUGAAAUGCAUAGAUAUCAGGCGGAACCCCGGUUGCGAAGGCAGCAUGCCGGCGCCCAACUGACGCUGAGGCACGAAAGCGUGGGGAUCGAACAGGAUUAGAUACCCCUGUAGUC